rnacentral:rRNA from 1 species
UACGUAGGGUGCAAGCGUUAAUCGGAAUUACUGGGCGUAAAGCGUGCGCAGGCUGUUUUGUAAGUCAGAUGUGAAAUCCCCGAGCUCAACUUGGGAACUGCGUUUGAAACUACAAGACUAGAAUAUGUCAGAGGGGGGUAGAAUUCCACGUGUAGCAGUGAAAUGCGUAGAGAUGUGGAGGAAUACCAAUGGCGAAGGCAGCCCCCUGGGAUAGUAUUGACGCUCAUGCACGAAAGCGUGGGGAGCAAACAGG